rnacentral:lncRNA from 1 species
UGUGCUGUGUAGGAGAAUCCAGACAUUGUGUACAGCUGCAUCUCAGCGUGGCCCGUUUUGGCUGGAAUUCAAGGAGUAAUUACAGCCAAAUGAGUAUUAUUACAACCCACGUCAAUCAGCGCAGCCUUCUCCUCGAAUGCUCUCAUAAAGAAACAGGGACGCUCUCUGAAAGAUGCUGUCUGGUUUAAGCCCAGUGUCUUUCUGGGGACCAGGAUGUGUGUGCUUUUCCAGAGGGAAACCAGCGCUGAUCGUCUGUCACCAAGUCUGAAGAGUAUAACCUGUAUGAUCUGAGACUGUAGGUCCCCAGAGUUAGGCAGACCCCAAUUCAGAUCCCACAUGCUACUUCCUCUCUCUGUGAACCUACACACGGGCUUAACCUCUCCACAUCUCCAUGUUCUGAUGAGUGAUGCGAGACUUCAGGGAUUCAGCAAGAUAGAGUGUUUAAAGUGCCAAAAGAGAUCUAUGGUGAUUUGUUAAUGGAACUUCCUUUCCUCCUCAUUCAGCAAUUAAUCACCAGCUCUUUGUCCUCGGCUGGAGGUGUGGCUUUGCAUCAGCAGGUGGAUGCUAAGCUACACAUUUGUCUACAUUUUAGGCCUCCUUUGGAACCCAAAAGCAAUGUGUGCAGGGAGGUUAUCCUGGAGAGACUGGAGUGUGAGGACGAGUCACACUGAUUCUGUAGGGGGCUGGGAUGUCGUGGGAAAAAGGGCAGGAGCAAUGGGAAUUGGAAGACACCUCCACACACACAACCAUGAAGUUCCACCAACUUUAGAACACUACUUUGGGAGGAAUCAUGGGUGGUGAGGGAAAGACCUUGUCCCUGUAGAAAUUUAGUGGAGAAGAGCUCUUUGCCUAGGUUCCUGGUGGCUUGGUUAGAAAGAACAUUGGUAUGGUUUGAAUCUGCAAUGCCCACCAUAGGCUCUUGAUUUGAACAUUUGGUUCCCAGCUGGUGGAGCAAAUUUGGAAGGGUAUGGGUCUAGCUGGUAGACAGGUUUUCAUGGGAAGGUCCCUAGUUCCUGACUUUUUCUGCUUCCUGAUCUGCGUGAUGCGAAUAGCUUCCCAUACAUGCUCCUAUGAUGGGGUCCUAUUGCUGUGGCCUGAACCACCAUGCUAAGCCUUCUCUGUCAUAGUGAAAUGUCUUGAGACCAUGAGCCCAAAGAAUUCUUUCACCCUUUACAUACACUGUUUCUGCCAGCUAUUUUGACCAUGCUACCUCAAAAGCAACAAAUAAAAAUGCUUAUAAAAACGUAUAUGCAAGCAGCCAGGCAACCUUGUGUGUAUGCAUGGGGCUUAGGCACGGAGCUUAAAUCACUCUUGUAAAUCUGCUCCAUUCAAUUUAGUAAAACGUUCUCCUGUCUACUUUGGGUGAGAGAUGGCAUGGGGAGUUGGGGA